UGGAGCAUGUGGUUAAUUCGAUGCAACGCGAAGAACCUUACCUACUCUUGACAUCCAGAGAAGCCAGCGGAGACGCAGGUGUGCCUUCGGGAACUCUGAGACAGGUGCUGCAUGGCUGUCGUCAGCUCGUGUUGUGAAAUGUUGGGUUAAGUCCCGCAACGAGCGCAACCCUUAUCCUUGUUUGCCAGCGAGUAAUGUCGGGAACUCCAGGGAGACUGCCGGUGAUAAACCGGAGGAAGGUGGGGACGACGUCAAGUCAUCAUGGCCCUUACGAGUAGGGCUACACACGUGCUACAAUGGCGCAUACAGAGGGCAGCAAGCUAGCGAUAGUGAGCGAAUCCCAAAAAGUGCGUCGUAGUCCGGAUUGGAGUCUGCAACUCGACUCCAUGAAGUCGGAAUCGCUAGUAAUCGUAGAUCAGAAUGCUACGGUGAAUACGUUCCCGGGCCUUGUACACAC
rnacentral:rRNA from 1 species